rnacentral:rRNA from 1 species
ACUACGGGUGGCAGCAGUGGGGGAUAUUGCACAAUGGGGGAAACCCUGAUGCAGCGACGCCGCGUGGGCGAAGAAGUAUUUCGGUAUGUAAAGCCCUAUCAGCAGGGAAGAAGAAAUGACGGUACCUGAGUAAGAAGCACCGGCUAAAUACGUGCCUGCAGCCGCGGUAAUACGUAUGGUGCAAGCGUUAUCCGGAUUUACUGGGGGUAAAGGGAGCGCAGGCGGCACGGCAAGCCUGAUGUGAAAGCCCGCGGCCCAACCGCGGGACUGCAUUGGGAACUACCGGGCUGGAGUGCCGGAGAGGUAGGCGGAAUUCCUAGUGUAGCGGUGAAAUGCGUAGAUAUUAGGAGGAACACCAGUGGCGAAGGCGGCCUACUGGACGGUGACUGACGCUGAGGCUCGAAAGCGUGGGGAGCAAACAGGAUUAGAUACCCCUGUACUC